AUCAUCUGUACAUCUGCAGGCUGCAGCACUUCUCGCUCGUAACGUGAAACUUAAAAACACGCCAAGGAGUGGAUGCAAGUGAACUAUCAAUCUACUGAAACAGAAGCGGGAAAUGUAUUCGAAGACGAAAAUGCUCGCGCGACCUGUGCGUCAGACCCGGAUAAACGCACGCGAGCUGACAAAAUCCUGAGUAGCUGUUAUUCAACAUAAACACAUUUCCGCACACAUGAAGAUGGAUGACGAUAGUUCAUCUUAAAAUGAAACUUAUGUUUAUCAGCUUACCCCCAGGCCAUCCAAGAGAUGCUCUUAAGAACAACGCCCUGAUGUCCAAGGUCAACCAGCAAGAAGCUGAGAAGGCACUGCCAAAAUGGUUUACUGGGGCAAGGGACAGAGGAGGACAGAGAGCAUCAAGAAUGCAGAAAAGGAUGUCUGUUUGAGAAAGGUUAAAACUACAGUUGUUGAUUUGAACUGUUGUAGUUCUUUAAUUUUUCUUAAAGGAAAACACAAUCAUUUUUCAAUAUUUACCAUGUUCUUCCCUCAACUUAGAUGAAUUAAUACAAACCUCUCUUUUCUCAAUGUGUGCACUUAAAGGUGGGGUGCACAAUUUCUAAAAAAAAAAACGUUUUGGAAAAGGGAGACAGGCCGACUAUCAAAACACACUUGUAGCCAUUUAGCAGCAUGUCUACUAAAUGACAUCGUUGCCUGGGUUGCGUAUGUGUGGGGCGGGUCUAUCAAAAGAAGGUCCAGAUUCUAUUAGGGUAAGGGUGUGUUUGUUUAGAUGAUUUCAAAUAUCAACAUUGGCUUUCAUGCACCCUGCCUUUAUUUGUUGUAAAGUGUGGCGUGAAUGUGUUAGCAUUUAGCCAAGCACCAUUCAUUCAUUAGGAUCCAAACAGCAGGGAUGUGAUUUUUCCGUAUAAAUAAGGAUUUCCGUAUUUUCUGACCUUGGUGGGAUGACCCGUCUGAAUCGCGUAAAUCCGAUGAGUUUUUUUUUUAGAUGGGGGGGGUAAUCACGCGCGUGUUGUAUGCCCGUGUUGUUGCAAGUGCUGUCUCAGUAUGCCUGCGUUGUCUGUAUGCGCGCGCUGUCUUUGUGCGCGAGCUUCGCCGUCAUCCAACAUGGAUCCCAGACGUUUUCUGUGUUCUACGUCAUACACAUCAGGCAUGAAA